rnacentral:snoRNA from 1 species
AGAUCCCACGGAAGGAAUGAUGUUCCAGUUGAGACUCAAGAAAAGGAUUCUGAGCCUUAGGGCUUUGAAGCAGCCAGUUGGUCACUGACCUUCCUUGAGGCAAA